rnacentral:rRNA from 1 species
CGGGUGAGUAACGCGUGGAUAACCUGCCUCACACUGGGGGAUAACAGUUAGAAAUGGCUGCUAAUACCGCAUAAGCGCACAGUACCGCAUGGUACGGUGUGAAAAACUCCGGUGGUGUGAGAUGGAUCCGCGUCUGAUUAGUUAGUUGGCGGGUAACGGCCCACCAAGACAGCGAUCAGUAGCCGACCUGAGAGGGUGACCGGCCACAUUGGGACUGAGACACGGCCCAA